rnacentral:rRNA from 1 species
GAUUAAGUUAUUAAGGGCGCACGGUGGAUGCCUUGGCACUAGAAGCCGAUGAAGGACGUUACUAACGACGAUAUGCUUUGGGGAGCUGUAAGUAAGCUUUGAUCCAGAGAUUUCCGAAUGGGGAAACCCAGCAUGAGUUAUGUCAUGUUAUCGAUAUGUGAAUACAUAGCAUAUCAGAAGGCACACCCGGAGAACUGAAACAUCUUAGUACCCGGAGGAAGAGAAAGAAAAUUCGAUUCCCUUAGUAGCGGCGAGCGAAACGGGAAGAGCCCAAACCAACAAGCUUGCUUGUUGGGGUUGUAGGACACUCUGUACGGAGUUACAAAGGACGACAUUAGACGAAUCAUCUGGAAAGAUGAAUCAAAGAAGGUAAUAAUCCUGUAGUCGAAAAUGUUGUCUCUCUUGAGUGGAUCCUGAGUACGACGGAGCACGUGAAAUUCCGUCGGAAUCUGGGAGGACCAUCUCCUAAGGCUAAAUACUCUCUAGUGACCGAUAGUGAACCAGUACCGUGAGGGAAAGGUGAAAAGCACCCCGGAAGGGGAGUGAAAUAGAACCUGAAACCGUGUGCUUACAAGUAGUCAGAGCCCGUUAAUGGGUGAUGGCGUGCCUUUUGUAGAAUGAACCGGCGAGUUACGAUUUGAUGCAAGGUUAAGCAGUAAAUGUGGAGCCGUAGCGAAAGCGAGUCUGAAUAGGGCGUUUAGUAUUUGGUCGUAGACCCGAAACCAGGUGAUCUACCCUUGGUCAGGUUGAAGUUCAGGUAACACUGAAUGGAGGACCGAACCGACUUACGUUGAAAAGUGAGCGGAUGAACUGAGGGUAGCGGAGAAAUUCCAAUCGAACCUGGAGAUAGCUGGUUCUCUCCGAAAUAGCUUUAGGGCUAGCCUCAAGUGAUGAUUAUUGGAGGUAGAGCACUGUUUGGACGAGGGGCCCCUCUCGGGUUACCGAAUUCAGACAAACUCCGAAUGCCAAUUAAUUUAACUUGGGAGUCAGAACAUGGGUGAUAAGGUCCGUGUUCGAAAGGGAAACAGCCCAGACCACCAGCUAAGGUCCCAAAAUAUAUGUUAAGUGGAAAAGGAUGUGGCGUUGCCCAGACAACUAGGAUGUUGGCUUAGAAGCAGCCAUCAUUUAAAGAGUGCGUAAUAGCUCACUAGUCGAGUGACACUGCGCCGAAAAUGUACCGGGGCUAAACAUAUUACCGAAGCUGUGGAUUGUCCUUUGGACAAUGGUAGGAGAGCGUUCUAAGGGCGUUGAAGCAUGAUCGUAAGGACAUGUGGAGCGCUUAGAAGUGAGAAUGCCGGUGUGAGUAGCGAAAGACGGGUGAGAAUCCCGUCCACCGAUUGACUAAGGUUUCCAGAGGAAGGCUCGUCCGCUCUGGGUUAGUCGGGUCCUAAGCUGAGGCCGACAGGCGUAGGCGAUGGAUAACAGGUUGAUAUUCCUGUACCACCUAUAAUCGUUUUAAUCGAUGGGGGGACGCAGUAGGAUAGGCGAAGCGUGCGAUUGGAUUGCACGUCUAAGCAGUAAGGCUGAGUAUUAGGCAAAUCCGGUACUCGUUAAGGCUGAGCUGUGAUGGGGAGAAGACAUUGAGUCUUCGAGUCGUUGAUUUCACACUGCCGAGAAAAGCCUCUAGAUAGAAAAUAGGUGCCCGUACCGCAAACCGACACAGGUAGUCAAGAUGAGAAUUCUAAGGUGAGCGAGCGAACUCUCGUUAAGGAACUCGGCAAAAUGACCCCGUAACUUCGGGAGAAGGGGUGCUCUUUAGGGUUAACGCCCAGAAGAGCCGCAGUGAAUAGGCCCAAGCGACUGUUUAUCAAAAACACAGGUCUCUGCUAAACCGUAAGGUGAUGUAUAGGGGCUGACGCCUGCCCGGUGCUGGAAGGUUAAGAGGAGUGGUUAGCUUCUGCGAAGCUACGAAUCGAAGCCCCAGUAAACGGCGGCCGUAACUAUAACGGUCCUAAGGUAGCGAAAUUCCUUGUCGGGUAAGUUCCGACCCGCACGAAAGGCGUAACGAUUUGGGCACUGUCUCAACGAGAGACUCGGUGAAAUCAUAGUACCUGUGAAGAUGCAGGUUACCCGCGACAGGACGGAAAGACCCCGUGGAGCUUUACUGUAGCCUGAUAUUGAAAUUCGGCACAGCUUGUACAGGAUAGGUAGGAGCCUUUGAAACGUGAGCGCUAGCUUACGUGGAGGCGCUGGUGGGAUACUACCCUAGCUGUGUUGGCUUUCUAACCCGCACCACUUAUCGUGGUGGGAGACAGUGUCAGGCGGGCAGUUUGACUGGGGCGGUCGCCUCCUAAAAGGUAACGGAGGCGCUCAAAGGUUCCCUCAGAAUGGUUGGAAAUCAUUCAUAGAGUGUAAAGGCAUAAGGGAGCUUGACUGCGAGACCUACAAGUCGAGCAGGGUCGAAAGACGGACUUAGUGAUCCGGUGGUUCCGCAUGGAAGGGCCAUCGCUCAACGGAUAAAAGCUACCCCGGGGAUAACAGGCUUAUCUCCCCCAAGAGUUCACAUCGACGGGGAGGUUUGGCACCUCGAUGUCGGCUCAUCGCAUCCUGGGGCUGUAGUCGGUCCCAAGGGUUGGGCUGUUCGCCCAUUAAAGCGGUACGCGAGCUGGGUUCAGAACGUCGUGAGACAGUUCGGUCCCUAUCCGUCGUGGGCGUAGGAAAUUUGAGAGGAGCUGUCCUUAGUACGAGAGGACCGGGAUGGACAUACCUCUGGUGUACCAGUUGUCGUGCCAACGGCAUAGCUGGGUAGCUAUGUGUGGACGGGAUAAGUGCUGAAAGCAUCUAAGCAUGAAGCCCCCCUCAAGAUGAGAUUUCCCAACUUCGGUUAUAAGAUCCCUCAAAGAUGAUGAGGUUAAUAGGUUCGAGGUGGAAGCAUGGUGACAUGUGGAGCUGACGAAUACUAAUCGAUCGAAGACUUAAUCAA